GCCAGCGCCCUCGCCGUCGCAGCCCGCACCCAGCGUCCUCUUUCCUUUUCUCCUUCCAGCUCCAGCUAGGGUUGCCGCCACCACCUCCUUCGGUCCUCCCAUCCCCAUCCUUCGCCGCAACAACGCCCGCAGAGGAGCAGAGUGGCCGGCGGCAGAUCGGCGCGUCACGGGAGCGGACACGGCGGCCGUCACGAUGCAAAUCAGAGCGAAGUCGGCGCGGCGGCCGGGCGCGAUCUGGAGAACCAGUGGUGUUCUCUUUCGAAAUCUCCUAGCGCCGGCCCCUCCACUUCUCUCCUCCUCAUCUCCUGGCGUGCACUCUGGAGUGGGUGCUUUGGGGUUUCUGUGGGGAAAAGGAGAGGAUCUGUGAUGCGUAGAUCGCCGGGUCGCACCACUACGCUCGCGACGGCUUCACGGAGCAGCUGCCGGAGAUCGCCGAGGCCACCAGGGGCAAGGAAACCCUCGUCUUGCAGUGCGCCUUCAGCCAGGAUACAGUUGAUGAUCUAGUUGGAGAUGGAUGGUUCUUACUAAGAUACAUCUGUAUAUGUAUGUGGUUUUGCUUCGGUUGAAGAUAUAUGUGUGCCUUAAAGACAUAUCAGAAGUCAAAUUUCUAGGUAAAAUCUGAUCAAGACUACUAGACGAUCCAAGUGGAAAACUAUUUCACUUUCAGCUUGUAUAUCAUGUCUGACCACGGAAGGUUAGAUGGUAAUAUUGAAUUCAAAAAGAUGGAUGCCAACUAUUUAAAACACGCCUCUCACAAAAAAGUAUAAAUGGAUUGGUAACUUGAGUCAUGGGAUUGUUGAGAUUAGUUCGCAAUCUCUUGAAUUGGGUGAAUUUCAUCACAAGAAAGAAGAAGGAAAUUGGUAAUAGUAAAUUGGAUGUUGUACGAUUUCUUACCUGGCAUCCUUUUGUUCUGGCUUGUGGUAAGUGAAUGUCUUGAUUAGUAAACUUAGGUGUAUUGCUUAGGUAGGGUGAACAUUAUGUACUUGUUUCCUUCCACUGCUUGUUUUUCCCUUCUUUUUCUCACAGUGGUUUGCUGGUGCUCCUCACUAGCUUGCAGGCAUUGACUCCGUCGCUGCCUAUUCGGCGGAUUGAGGCACCCAUUCAUCACAUGCGAGCUUUGAGAUUAUUUGAUGCAUCGACCAUAGUAUCUGGUUCCACUGACAACUCGUUCAAGCUUUGGGACUUGUCUAUGAAUCAAGCAAGAGUAAUUGACAAUCCAAUUCAGACUUCUACAGGGCAUAUAAAUACAAAGAUUGCAGAUUAUUGACAGAUAUUUCUGUGUACUGUCUGCCCAGACACUUCCGAAAGUAGAAGAGAAAUGGCGAAGAACUCCCUCGAGAGAUGUACGCAUUAUUAUGAAUGAUGGGCAGCUAAUCGGCGGAGUUUGGUGUUCUUUGCGACAGUGGCAUUGCUGGUGGCUGUAGAGAAAGCUCUCUUAUA